UACAUGCUAACUUCAUCUGAUGUUAUGUAGUUAACGUUAUAUAACGAUACAAUAUUAAAUGGUUUUGCUCGCACUUGAAAAAGUGUAAAAUGGAUCUUGCUGUGCCGGCUUGCAAGCUUAGCAUUCUGGCUCAUGUGAGCUAACGUUAACAUUACUUAAUUUGCUGAUGUUAGCUUAGUCCAGUUGGGAGUUAAUGUUCGAUUUGGUAACGUUAAACAUGAUUAGACACGUUUGCAGUUCAUGAUAACGUUUCUAUUCUUUGCACCAGAAUUUGAAAAAACUCUCAAAACUAAACUGCGUGAGAUCGAGAUGGAGAAAGAAGACACACAAGGGCAAACAAAACGUCCUCACAUCCCAAAUUCUAAGUACAGUGAGCAGCAGGGGCUAACUGAGAAGGCUUCAAAGAAAAAGGUAACAUAAACUGACUAUGCUUAAAGUUAUCUCCACCUCUCUCUCUUGUUCCUUAAUGUGUAUGCAUGUGUGUAGGUUUGUAAUUGUCUUAUCUAUGAUGAUUUCAUGUGCUUUGUUGACAAGAUGAGCAAGUGCAAGGUCAUGUAACAUAAGUUAACAUAAGAGUUGGGAUAAAAGUCAGUCUCUCUGUCACUCAAGGUUGACAAUCAAAAGGGAGGGGCUUCCAAAUCCAAGCACCAGGAGGGUGAGAAGCAGGAGGAGGGUCAUGACAUACUUUCAAAGAACAAGCAGGAGAAGGUGGCAGAGGAGGAGGAAGAGGAGGAGGGUGAGGUAGAGGGUGAGGAGGAGGAGGCGCUUCAUUACAGAUCUUCAAAGAACAAGCGGGCCAGCGAAGAGGAAGAG